UUUCCCAUAGACGGCGAAGGAUGCACAAGUGCAUCCUUCGCGGCCCCAAAUCACCCACAAUCCAAUGCGCACAGCUUUUGCCAGCUUGUAAAAAUUAAUUAAAUGGCGGAAUUAAGCGAGCAGUUGGAGCGGCAUCGCUCACGGCGAAAUAAUAAUUUAAAUGGACUAAGGAACAAACGUAGACUGUCACUGGGGAUGGGAAAGCCAAAGACAAGCAGGGAGACAGAUGUUGAAUAGAUUAUUUGCUAUAUUUGAGAUUGACAUUCUAAAAAUAAAUGCAUUAAAUUAA